rnacentral:rRNA from 1 species
CAAUAGCGUAUAUUAAAGUUGUUGCAGUUAAAAAGCUCGUAGUUGGAUUUCUGGAUGGAGCGACCGGUCGGGCAUUAAUUUGUCUGCACUGGAGUCGGUUCCGUCCAUCCUCUUGGAAAGUGCGUCGGGCAUUAAGUUGUUUGGCGUAUGAUCCAAGUCGUUUACUGUGAAAAAAUUAGAGUGUUUAAAGCAGGCCUUCGCCUUGAAUACAUUAGCAUGGAAUAAUAAGAUAGGACUUUGGUCUAUUUUAUUGGUUUGCAGACCGAAGUAAUGAUUAAUAGGGAUAGUUGGGGGUAUUUAUAUUCCGAUGUCAGAGGUGAAAUUCUUAGAUUUUCGGAAGAUAAACUUAUGCGAAAGCAUUUACCAAGGAUGUUUUCAUUAA